rnacentral:sRNA from 1 species
GCCAGGCGUGGUGGGUCACGCUUGUAAUCCCAGCACUUUGGAGGCUGAGACAGGUGGAUUGCUUGAACCCAGGAGACUGAGACCAGCCUGGGCAACAUGGCGAAACUCUGUCUCUACAAAAUAUUAGCCAGGUGUGGUGGCAGGUGCCUGUAGUCCCACCUACUUAGGAGGCUGAGAUGGGAGGAUCACCUGAGCCUGGGAGGUCAAGGCUGCAGUGAGCCAUGUUCAUGCCACUGCAACCCAGCCUGGGUGACAUAGUGAGACCCUGUCUCA